rnacentral:rRNA from 1 species
CGGGACGGGUGAGUAAUGCUUGGGAAUCUGGCUUAUGAGGGGGAGUAACUACGGGAAACUGUAGCUAAUACCGCGUAGUAUCGGAAGAUGAAAGUGCGGGACCGUAAGGCCGCAUGCCAUGGGAUGAGCCCAAGUGGGAUUAGGUAGUUGGUGGGGUAAAGGCUACCAAGCCUGCGAUCUCUAGCUGGUCUGAGAGGAUGGCCAGCCACACUGGAACUGAGACACGGUCCAG